GUCUAGGAUACCAUGUUACGUUCUUGUCAUGGAUCCUUUGGCUUCUGUUGACUGUGGCAGUUUCACAGGAUUUCUUUGUUUUGAUGACCUUGACAGUAUUGAGGAAUACCGCUCAGGAAUACUUUGAUGUGACCCAGUGUGUGUUUUCCUUUGAGAUCACCGCAGAGAAGUUGCAAGUGGCAUCACUGCCUCGUACUGGAGAAGCACGUGUGGAUGGGACCACUACAGACCCAGAUGAGAUGGAGCUCUGUUCAGCUUUGGGACAGAAGGUUAAGUAUUAGGUAUUGAUGUCUGCUUCCUGCCUUCCAAAGAUGAGAAAUUGGCUUCUACGACCACAAUGAACAGUGAAGUUGACUUGUGUUCUUCAGUUACUAAGAAAGGUAUUUUUCUGAGCUGACUCUUGUGCGACUUCUAAGUUGUUUCUGGCACUGCUGCUGAGAUUCUCAGAGCUGAUGGGGAGCAGAGUACUCAGCUCCAGGUCCAUAACCAUCUGGCAAGACUCUGCCAGCAAACGCUGAAGCUUGCUUGUGGGCAAAAAGUCAUCCUUGUCACUGGACGAUGGUGCCUCUUUGUUGAAUAACAAAAUCUUAGGUGAGUUCUUUGCAUCUGAAGAGGGCUCUGUCUCUAUCAAUUUCUCAUCCUCUCUAGGAGCAGAUUUUGAAGAACCCGAACAGUGGGAAUGCUGGAUGGCAAUUAGCUCACUCAUGGCGGAGUUGUGCUUCCUCCCACUGGCACUUUCCGAACAAGUACACACAGAUUUGUGGCGAACAGUCCUUUGCACUUUAGAAGGCUUGAAAAUGCUCAUCCACUCCAUGUCAGACAUGGGGCCUGGGCUUCAAUGAUGAAAUUACUCAGGUGGCAGCACUUGGAUUCAUACAUAUCACUCUCCCCCAGACAGGUCUCAUUUUUAUGACAACAGCACAUACCUUUCUAUGUCAUCUUGACUUUCAACAUCCGGCUUUUCUGGUUGUCUGGAACCAGAACAGCUGGCCAGGCCCAGGUACACGUUGACAUCAUGCCACUGUCUCUCAUCAGAUGAUGUGGAUGUUUUGGAGAGUUGUUUCUCUUCAUUCUGAAUCCCGAUCCCAUUACCUUUUGGUGACUUUGCAUGGAUCUUGCACAAUCUACUUUGGUUUUCCGGUUUGAUCUGCAUUUUCUCUCCCAAAGACCAAGACUUUUGCUUCUCCAGUAAGUCUUUUGUAAACAGAGAUGAGAUAGCAAAUACACUUUUUUUCCCAAAUGAAGGAUUACCUGUCGCUUCUACUCUUUGCACACAUCACAGGGGCUCCUGUCUGACCGAUUUUGUGGGAACAUGGUCUCAAAUUUUGCAUCUUUAACCAAUGACCUCUGAUUUUUCUCCCUCUUGAUGUCGACUUUCAGGCAGUGAUUCUCAAGGUCUGACAAACACAUGUCUCUGCUGGACUCCAGAACCUUUGAUUCCUCCAUCUUUGAGUCAUAAAUCUGUAUUAAUUCCUGAUAAUUUUCCACAUUAAAAUUAAGAAACUGCAGAUCACUCUGUUGUUUUACAUAAAUCUGUCUCAGAUUAUGGAGUUCUGCGUUUGUGUGCUCUUGCUUUGACUUUGCAAUAUCAAGUAACUCAUCUUUCCUUUUUUCUCUCUCUGCUUUCAGUUUAUUGACUUCAACUUUAAGUGUCUUCGAUUUCUUUUUUUUUAAAUU